AGAAGACCCCAUGGAGCUUCAAACCCAACUACACCCCUAGCUCUUAUAGCCCCACAACCCCCCUAGGCACCGUGUGCUUGGUUUUAGGUUGGGGCGACCGCGGAGUACAAUAAAACCUCCACAAUGAAUGGGAACACCCCCUUAUCUGAGGGCCACACCCCCUAAGAAUUAGAACACUAACAUAAAAUGAUCCAUUACUUGAUCAAUGAACCAAGUUACCCUGGGGAUAACAGCGCAAUCCAUUUCAAGAGCCCCUAUCGACAAAUGGGUUUACGACCUCGAUGUUGGAUCAGGGUACCCCAGUGGUGCAGCAGCUACUAACGGUUCGUUUGUUCAACGAUUAAAACCCU
rnacentral:rRNA from 1 species